GACGAACGCUGGCGGCGUGCUUAACACAUGCAAGUCGAACGGAAAGGCCCUGCGUUUGUGGUGUUCUCGAUUGGCGAACGGGUGAGUAACACGUGAGUAACCUGCCCUUGACUUUGGGAUAACUUCAGGAAACUGGGGCUAAUACCGGAUAGGAGCUCCUGCUGCAGGGUGGGGGUUGGAAAGUUUCGGCGGGUGGGGAUGGACUCGCGGCUUAUCAGCUUGUUGGUGGGGUAGUUGCUUACCAAGGCGUGGACGGGUAGACGGCCUGAGAGGGUGACCGGCCACAUUGGCACCGAGAUAAGGCCCCGACUCCUACGGGAGGAAGCAGUGGGGAAUCUUGAACCAUGGGCGGAAGCCUGAUGAAGAAACGCCGCGUGCGGGAUGACGGCCUUCGGGUUGUAAAACGCUUUCGCCUGUGACGAAGCGUGAGUGAAGGUAAUGGGUAAAGAAGCAACGGCUAACUACGUG
rnacentral:rRNA from 1 species